rnacentral:misc_RNA from 1 species
AAAGUCGUAACAAGGUCUCCGUAGGUGAACCUGCGGAGGGAUCAUCAAAGAAUUUCCAAAAACCACAAAGUGUUCCUCCUCUCUUUCGGGGGAGUGAAUGCUUUCAAACAAACGAUCACAACUAACUAUGGGAAGGAAAUAUUGGAUUGGAGAAACUAAAAAAAAAGUGUUUGCCUGAUAAUUUGAUUGGAAAAAAAAGAGAAAAAUACAACUUUCAACAACGGAUCUCUUGGCUCUC